UGUAGUAACACUGUAACACUUCCAACACUCACCACAGAAACUAAUUUACUACUGUGUAAACAUUAUUUGUCUUCCAUUGGUGCGGAGUUACAAGAAUUUCAUUUCUCGGUAUCAUGAUAAGUCACUUUUCUCUUCACUCUGCUUAAAAUCCGGCAAAAUUUUCAUCUUCUUGAAACACCCUUUUCAAGAAAGUGCUCUGUUCUUUGUCCUGUUUG
rnacentral:misc_RNA from 1 species